GACGAACGCUGGCGGCGUGCCUAAUACAUGCAAGUUGAGCGCUGAAGGUUGGUACUUGUACCAACUGGAUGAGCAGCGAACGGGUGAGUAACGCGUGGGGAAUCUGCCUUUGAGCGGGGGACAACAUUUGGAAACGAAUGCUAAUACCGCAUAAAAACUUUAAACACAAGUUUUAAGUUUGAAAGAUGCAAUUGCCUCACUCAAAGAUGAUCCCGCGUUGUAUUAGCUAAUUGGUGAGGUAAAGGCUCACCAAGGCGAUGAUACAUAGCCGACCUGAGAGGGUGAUCGGCCACAGUGGGACUGAGACACGGCCCAAACUCCUACGGGAGGCAGCAGUAGGGAAUCUUCGGCAAUGGACGAAAGUCUGACCGAGCAACGCCGCGGGAGUGAAGAAGGUUUUCGGAUCGUAAAACUCUGUUGGUAGAGAAGAACGUUGGUGAGAGUGGAAAGCUCAUCAAGUGACGGUAACUACCCAGAAAGGGACGGCUAACUACGUG
rnacentral:rRNA from 1 species